rnacentral:rRNA from 1 species
AUUGAACGCUGGCGGCAGGCCUAACACAUGCAAGUCGAGCGGAGCGGCGGACGAGUGAGUAAUGCCUAGGAAUCAGCCUGGUAGUGGGGGAUAACGUACGGAAACGUGCGCUAAUACCGCAUACUAUAAGAUUAGCCUAGGUCGGCUUAGCUAGUUGGUGGGGUAAAGGCCUCCAAAGGCGACGAACCGAAACUGGUCUGAGAGGAUGAUCAGUCAAACUGGAACUGAGACACGGCCCAGACUCCUACGGGAGGAAGCAGUGGGGAAUAUUGGACAAUGGGCGAAAGCCUGAUCCAGCCAUGCGGCGUGUGUGAAGAAGGUCUUCGGAUUGUAAAGCACUUUAAGUUGGGAGGCGUUACCAACAGAAUAAGCACCGGCUAACUUCGUGCCAGCAGCCGCGGUAAUAC